rnacentral:lncRNA from 1 species
CCUUCCAGCCAGGCGUCCAUCUUAAGAGACGCUGGUCUCCUCAGGCGUGAAGAUUGGAUUUGGGUUGGGACUGGGAAGUCUCGUUACUUGGAUUUUUGUUGCUUUGGGAAAGGAUUGAACUAUACCUGCACUUGUGUCAUAAGAUCCUGAUUCUGCUAGUGAUUCUUCUGUGUGUCAUUUUAAUGUUCAUUAUAUGCAAAUUCUGGAAAGAAAGGUGGCUGGUAGCUGGGCUGUCAAUGCAGAUCUUUGCUCCCUACGUGCACCUGGUCAGCAUAACUGUGAUGGUUAUCCUUUUCUGGCCUGUGGCCUUCUACGUGGCAUGUUUGGAAAGAGAAGGUAUGUCACAUAGGGCAGAACCCUGCCUAUUUCUUCAGCUCUGGCUUUAGCUUGCAUACUCCACUCAGGAAAACAGAAGCUUGGGAACUAGCCACCCCUAUGCCUCGUUGAAAUUCAUUUAGCUUGUUACUCAGGCAUGCUCCUGUGCUUUCACUCACUACCCUGUUAUAGUGGCCAAUGGCCUGUCAUAGUAUUUCUGUGGCCAAACAG